rnacentral:rRNA from 1 species
CCUACGGGAGGCAGCAGUGAGGAAUAUUGGUCAAUGGCCGUAAGCCUGAAGCAGCGACGUCGCGUGAGGGAAGAAGUAUCUAUGGUUUGUAAACUUCUUUUAUAGGGGAAUAAAGGUCUCCACGUGUGUAUGUUUGCAUGUACCCUAUGAAUAAGCAUCGGCUAACUCCGUGCCAGCAGCCGCGGUAAUCCGGAGGAUGCGAGCGUUAUCCGGAUUUAUUGGGUUUAAAGGGUGCGUAGGUUGUUGUUUAAGUCAGCGGUGAAAGUUUGUGGCUCAACCAUAAAAUUGCCGUUGAAACUGGAAGGCUGGAGUGUGGUUGAGGUAGGCGGAAUGCGUGGUGUAGCGGUGAAAUGCAUAGAUAUUACGCAGAACUCCGAUUGCGAAGGCAGCUUACUAAGCCGUAACUGACGCUGAGGCACGAAAGCGUGGGGAGCAAACAGGAUUAGAUACCCUAGUAGUC